AUGCUUGGAGUAGUAAACAGAUAUGAUCUCGAAACUUAAAGAAUUUGGCGGUAUUUAAGUCUAGUUAGAGGAACCUGUACUGUAAACGAUAAACCACGAGUAUCUUACUUUGUCUAGGAAUCUGCAGUUCGUAUACCGCCAUUAUAGACAAUCUUUAAAAAGGUUUGUUGUAAUAGAGUCUGAUUUGGGAUAUUAGGUCAAGGUGCGGCUGAUGGUAAAGUAGUUAUGGGUUACAUUGGUAUUAGUAGACACGGAUUAAUCUAACAAUUUAGGGUUGUGAAGGUGGAUUUAAUAGU
rnacentral:rRNA from 1 species